UACAGAGGGUGCAAGCGUUGUUCGGAAUUACUGGGCGUAAAGGGCGCGUAGGCGGCCUUCUAAGUCGAACGUGAAAUCCCCGGGCUCAACCCGGGAACUGCGUCCGAUACUGGAAGGCUUGAAUCCGGGAGAGGGAUGCGGAAUUCCAGGUGUAGCGGUGAAAUGCGUAGAUAUCUGGAGGAACACCGGUGGCGAAGGCGGCAUCCUGGACCGGCAUUGACGCUGAGGCGCGAAAGCCAGGGGAGCAAACGGG
rnacentral:rRNA from 1 species